AUUAAACUGAGCAAAAAGAUCCAAAACAUAAAAUUAUGAACUGAGAGCAGCAAAGGAGAGAUUUCAAUUUGCUACUCACAAGUUUUUAAACUGAAUUAAUACAGAGUUUCAAAUGUAUGUAAAAUAUGAAAGUAAAAACUUGGGACAACCUUAACUAUACAGGUCAUCUUCAUCUGCUCCACCAGCUGAAGUUGCAAAGGGGUCAGCAGCAGUCCCAGUGGUCCCUGCAGUGCUCGUCUCCGAAAAUCGGAAUUCAGAACCGAAUCCUCUGGACUGUUGCAACGUCUGAGCGAAAGCUUGGUACUUGCGGAUAUCAGCGUCACUGACACUCCUCCUGGCGUACUUCAUUGAUUCCUCAAAGUGAGCAGCCUUGAUCUCAGGUACCUCGUCUUCAACGUCUUCCUCCAUGGCUUCAGGAUUCUCACUUCUCCUUUUCUCCCUCUCGAUAUCUUUCUCAAUGUUUUCUCUGAUGGCGUAUUUGCAAGCACGUUGACAGAUCUCUGUAAUGUCAGCUCCACUAAAGCCCUGUGUAUACUUUGCAAGAGCUCUUAGAUCGAUAUCCUUAGAAAGAGGUGAUUUCCUUAGGCAUGCCUUGAAAAUUUGGUGACGAGAAUCUUCAUCAGGGAGAGGAAUAUAAAUCAAUUGGUCA
rnacentral:misc_RNA from 1 species